CGAGAAGAAUCUCAAGGUGGCGG
rnacentral:siRNA from 1 species